rnacentral:siRNA from 1 species
GAGCGUGCAAUACUUUGUCCAACA